ensembl:snRNA U6 U6 spliceosomal RNA
GUUCACUUUGGCAGAACAUAUACUAAAAUUGGAACGAUACAGAGAAGAUUAGCAUGGCCCCUAGGUAAGGAUGACACACAAAUUCAUGAAGCAUUCCAUAUUUUA